rnacentral:lncRNA from 1 species
GCAGGCAUUAACAUUAAGAACAAAAUGAUGUGACAAAUUUAAGAACUGAAAAUUUUCACCCAAACAGACUAUUGUUUCUCAGGCUAAAUUAAUUAUAAUUUGUCGAAUUUAUUUUAUCCAAACUGAAAUAUAUAGCCCAUGCUUCUUAAGCUAACUUAUAAUAUAGUAACAGUGAAUUAAUAAGAUUUUUCAGCAAGCCAACCAAGUCCUCUUGAAAUGCCGAAUUAGUUUUGAUACUUAACGAGAUGUAACUUAGUUCCUUCCAUAACUGUGGCAGCCCAGAGAAGAGCACCAUCAUCAAGAUCAAAACCGUUCAUUCGGAGUACCUUGUGUUCAACGUCAAUAAUGCUUUGUUCUGCGCAAACUUUCGCCUUCAACUCCCCCACGGUAGCACCAUCAUGGACUUCACACACAUAAUAAAAGCGACUAUACUCCACGUAGAUUUCGACUUUAAUUUUGGUAAGGACAGUAAGGGAAGCAUUAGGAGGAAUGUGAUAGUUUUGCAGAGUCAGUUCAUCCCUGAGGAACUGCCCUUCCCAUGAGAGCUCUUGCCUGUCUGCUGGGACUGGGAUGUGAAGCGCUUCACAAAUCAGUACUUUCACUUCGAUAAUUCGUGCAGCGACGGGUAUCUCCAGAGUGGAUAUUGCUCCUCUCCGUAAAACUAUGAUCCGCAUGUUCUGUCAAAUAACAUUCAUUUUGUUAUAUAUGAAACUGUGCAUGCAUUAUGCAUAUAAACUUAGAAAAAGAACAUUAGAAUUUAAUUUGCAAUCACAAAUGAAUCAUGUACUGGAUAAAGCUUAUGGAGUGGAAAAAUGCUUACCGCCGGAGGCAAAUUAGAGUCGGGAUCCAUUGUGCCGCUGAUUAGUUAAUGCUUCAAUGCGAGAGGGAUCAGCUUGUUAAAAUGUAUCUCCUCAUGGCAUUAGCAUGGGGUUGGUUGUUCGAAUGUGAUUUGCAUGCAUCGAAUGGUCCUUUUUAAGUCAUGCAUAUUUUGUUCCAAAACUAGUUAACGAAAAAAUAAUUUCAGAAUGAAAACUUUAGACUGAACAUGAUGAAGUAACCCAACUUUUAUUUCUCAGCUCACACGCACUGCAAACUAUAUGUUGAAGAAUACACAAGUCCCACAUCGGAAAUUUAAUAAAAUAAAAAGUUCCAUAUAAUAAAUGGUUCCACUCCUAAUAACAUCGAUGUCUUUUGUAUAAAACCCCACACCGACUUUGUAGGUAGUUAAGUUGGGGACAAUAUCGGUGUUGUUAGUAAUGAGUCACUGACCCGUCUCUCUAGUCUUAACAUAGUAUCAGAGCGGGUUGAUUGAUUGUGCCUGAAUUGGGCCUCUAUCCUUACCCAAUAUGUGGUGUUCACAUGUUGGGCUUGAAUGCUUACCCUUACCCUUUACCCAAUACGUGGUGCUCACGUGUUGGGCUUGAAUGUUUGACUCCGAUGUGGAUUUGGCUCCACGUGUGGCGCACUAUGUUGUGGUCCCACGUGAAGGGGUGUGUUGAAGAAUGAGUCACACAUCGGAAACUUGAUUAAAUAAAAUAAAAUACAUAAUAAAUAGUUCUACUACUAAUAUCACCGAGGCCUUUUGUGAUAAAACUCCACACCUACUGGGUUUUGUAGGUGGUUAAAUUGGGGACAAUAUCGGUGUUGUUAGUAGUAGGGCCGUCUCUCUGAAUUUAACAUGAUAUUAGAGCGGGUCGGUUGAUUGGGCCCGAUUAAACUCAAAUCAAACAAAAACUCCAAAUUGAAUCAAAACCAAACAAACCCCAAAUACUCCACACCCAAAAAAAGAAAAAAAAAAGUGACUGAUGUGGAAUUGGUUGCACGUGUGGCCCACUAAAAAAGUGGUCCCACGUGAGGAGAAGUGUUGAAGAAUACACGAGCCCCACAUCGGAAACUUAACAAAAUAAAAAGUCUUAUACAAUGAAUGGUUUCAAUCCUAAUAACAUCGAGACCUUUUGUAUAAAACCCAACACCUACUAAAUAGGUGGUUAAAUUUGGGAUAAUAUCGAUAUUGCUAGUGGUAGACCAAAUGUCAAAUACAUACGUAUAAUCAUUAGCACACUAUAUGUAUAAAAUAAACUGAAACGUUAUCUACUUGUAUAUAAAAGUUCGACUCUAAGACAUCCGACUUUACAACUUGCUCCCAAUAUAUGUUUAUCAUGUAUAGUGCCCCUUCAACCCUAAAAUAAGAGAAAAUAUUGGCUGAUAUUUCAUCAUGGCUUAGGAGAGAACGUAAGUCAGACAGAAUAGUGAUGAUCUGAUUUGGUGUUCCUAAUUUUUAUUCUCUUUUUCUAUUGGCCCCUUCAAAACAUUUAACUCAUGGGACACUUGAGUUGAGACACAAGAAACACAAGAAUGGAUAUGAGAAAGACGAAACAAAUAGAUUAAUCGAACGAGAUGGACGAAAAUUGAGAUAAGGGAGUGAUACCCUUAAAAUAAAGGGAGAUACACUAUAAUACCUAAUAUAUGAGCUUAAAUUAUUAAAAAGAAAAAAAAAACUUAUAUGAAAUGAACUUUAGAAACACACCCAAAACCCAUUUACAACAUAACAAAAAGGCUUUUAACUUCUUUUAAAUUACAAAACUGCAAUUGAUUUCUUAAAACAAACUCAACCCAAAAACCUCAUAAAAAAAUCCAAAACACUCAAUGAGGCAUCAAAGUAAUUAAAAUUAAAUUCAAUAGGGUCAGCUAUUAUUUUUGGGGGGUUUUUUUUUUUGUUUGUUUAUAAAAAUUAAAUGGUGUAUGGUUUAUUUAUAGUUUUAGUACUAAGAAGGGGUAUAUGACUAAAUAUCUCUAAAAUAAACCAAUAGUUUAACAUGAAUCAUUAAUGAUUUAAGAAGGAAAUUGUCAAGCACUUAGAGCAAAAUUUGGCUCUUUAAAAUUGAGCAGGAGCACAUCCUCACAACAAAUGGAAUUUUGGCACUUGAUAAAUUGCAAAAGAUAAAUAAAUAAAUAAAUAAAUGAAUUUGACAAGUAUCAAAACCCUAUUUGUUUUGAGGAGCCAAAAUUUUUCCUUAUUUUAUUAACAUUAAUUAAUAAUUAUAAAUUAGAAGGAAGCCGCAUGAACAUUUGAAAAAUAUUUUGUAACUGCUAUUCAUAUCCAUAUUAUGUUGGGGGCAUAUAAGAGUUCUUAAGUUCAAACUCUUAUGACACCAUAAAUUCUUUAGACACAUUAAUAUAUGAGAAAUUAGAAUAUUGGCUGGUGGAUAAGAUUUGAACGGGAAAGUAAUUGUUCUCUGUUUUCACCGUGCCGUGAUGUGCUGAUUUAAGAACUGAGAUUUUUCACCCAAACAGAUCUUUAUUGCAUAUAUUCAUCUUCCAACAGAUACACAUUUAUUUUAAAUUUCCAAACACCAUACUGUUAAGCUAAGUUAAUUAUACUCUGUCGCGAAUUUAUUUUUCGUCUAAACUACUGUGAACUCAUAAGAUUUUGCAGCAAGCCAAAGUUAACCAAGUUCCAUUGAAAUGGUGAAGUCUGCAUAUCAUCUCACCUACGCAUUGAAACGCUCAACGAGGUAUAACGUAGUUCCUUCCACAACUCCAACAGCAAACAAUUGAGCAUCAUCAGGAAGAUAAGCAUUCCCCAUUCGGAGUACCUUAUUUUCGAUGACAACGUCGUGUUCUGCAUGAAGUUUUGCCUUCAACUGAUCUAUGGUAGUACUAUCGUGGAUGACAUAUUCAUAUUGAAUGUCGCCAGCCUCUAAGUAGAUCGUGACUUUAAUUUUUUCGAGGAGAAUAAUUGAGGUCUCAGAAGGAAUGUUAUAGUCUUGUAGAGUCAGUUCAUCCCUUAGGAAUUGCCCUGCCCAUGAGAGCUCUUGCCUUUCUACUGGGAAUGGGAUGCGAAGCACUUCCAAAAUAAGUUGCUUUACGCCGAUAAUUUGUGUAGCGAGAGAAAUCAGCAGAAUGGAUUCUCCUCCACUCCAUACGAAUGUGAUGAGCGGGGUCUGUCAAAUACCAAUUAUUCUGUUAUAUAUAUCAAAUUGUGCAGGCAAAUAAACUCAGAAAAAGAAUAUUAUGAUUUAAUUAUUAUUCCCAAAUGAAUGAUUUAUUAUAAGAUAAAAGGCUUAUGGAGUGCAAAAAUGCUUACUUCCGGAGGCGGAUUGGAGUCGGGAUGGUGGAAGGGAUCAAAAUCGAAUAUUUCGUUGGGAUCAUAGUCUUCCCACAUUGUGCCACUAGAUAGUUUUAUGCAUGCUUCAAUGUGCGAAGGGGAAUGAUCUUGUGAAAAUGUAUCUCCUCAUGGCAUUAGCAUGGGGUUGCCUUGAAUGUGAUUUGCAUGUCUUUAAUUCAUGCAUAUUUUGUUCCAAAACUUUUGACUAAACAUGAAGUCAACCCAAGUUAAUUAUUGUCACGCAUCUUCUAUGUGAAAAUGCAGCCAAUGCCAUAAAGAACAAUUUAAACUUCAUUAAUCUAAACUUAAGCAUAAGAAUAGGACCAUGUCAACAUGCAUACGAUUGAUGUCAGAAAUAAGAUUGAUGUCAAGUUAGGUUUAAUGUCAAUUACUUUACCUUUACGUGUAACUUAUUAAUUAUUGGUUUAGUGAUAUUUUACCUCUACAAUAUUGGAAGAUAUAGUAGAAAUGAACAUAAGUGGAUUGGAUUUUUAUUGUUUCGACAAAUAAAGAGAAAGAUAUAGAUUUUUAUUUUGUUUCAACAAAUAAAGAAAAAAGUCGCCGUCUAUGGGAAUCGAACCCACGACCACACGGUUAAAAGCCGUGCGCUCUACCGGCUGAGCUAAGACGGCAUUUGCAUCACAACAGAUUUUGAAAACCCUAACCUCUACACAAACGUGAAGCCACUUGGAGUAAUAGCAUCAACAUAAUCUAAGCUUGACUUAUAGAACGUAGAUCAUGAAUAUUUGAGAUGCAAGUAUGUACCCAAAAAAAUAAUAUCAUUGAUAUUGUGGGAGCAAAUAUUUUCGUUUCCAAUCACAGCACGCUACGUGGAAAAGAAAAUGAUCUCUUAAAUUAAUUAAUUGAACCAGUUUAUCUGGCUAAUUAAUUAAUUGGGAUAAAUAUCUUAAUUAAUAUGAUAUUAUCUUUAUUUAAUAAGAUAAUAUCAUUAAUUCAGAUAUUAUCCUAAUAAAGAGAAGAUAAUAUCAUUAAUUCAGAUAUUAUCUUCAUAAAAGGAGAUAAUAUCAUUUAUUUCAGAUAUUAUCUAAGUCCGACUCGAUCCCUACGACUUUGGGUGGAGAAUAAACUCAGCAUAUUCUCUACAAAACCCUACUCCCGAGGCUCCUAUAAAUAGAGGACCUCAUUCAUCAUUCAAGGUACAUCUAAACCUAUUCCUAAUACCCAAGAAAAAUACCUGAAGCUCUCUCUCCCUCUCCACUCUCCAUAUUUUCUCCACACGGCUCCGGCCACCACACACGGCUCUGGCUGCCCGGUUCACACCAUACAUACAACUCCGUACCCUUGCUUAGCUAUUGUUUUCCUACAAACACUCGAACUAACUUAGGCAUUGGAGGGCCUUUGGCCAACACCCCCCAUGUGUGGUCUAUUUACUCCAAUAUUUUUUUACAGGAAACGAGGAAGAGAUAGAAGGAAGGCCGAAAGUUGAGGGAUCUAGAAGUGAACAUUCUUCCGUGAGAUUAUUUGCACAAACAGAUACAUUAGAAGAACAGAGAGCCUAUAUCUUAAUUUUAUUGUGUACAUAAUUGGUUAUAGAUUUCAGAAAAUUCGAGUUUUCCCCUUAAAUUCUAAUCAAACUUUUUUCUCAAGAGCCUCUAUGAAUUUCAGGAAGUUACACAAAAAGAUUGGACUUGAAUUCCAAGCCCUCAUUAGAGUCUGAAAACCAGGCCUGAAGCCCAGAACCGACCCAAAGUAAAUAAUCGGGCCUUUCCUUUAAGAUUCAAAAUAAUUAGCCCGUCUUUAUAUAUUCAACAGCCCCGAUCUGACCCGGAGUAAGUCCAAGCUGAAUUUCGUGCUUGUGUAAUGUGUUACAUUUUCACCUCAAUGCUUUCGCGCCUUACUUUCUUUGUCAUUUUCUCCCUCCCAGUUUUUCUUGUUGUUGUUAUGUUUUUAUAAAUAAGCUCAUUUUAGUAUAAUAUAUUAUACAAAAACCUAUAUAGAGUCUAUUUAGAGAGAAAAAUCCAGAACUAGUUGCUUGUCAUUUUUUAAUUGUUUCUUAGAAAAUUUUAACACACUAAGAAUCAAUUAAAAAUGACAAGCGACUAGUUUUGGGGUUUCUUUCCAAAUAGGGCUCUGUAAGGAUUUUUGUAUAACCAAGUCCCAUUGAAACGCUAAGUUAUUUUUCCAUACCAUCUCACAUACGUUUUUUAUCCUCAAUGAGAAAUAACUAAGCUCCUUCAACAUCUCCGGCAACCAAGAGUUGAGCAUGAUCAUCAAGAUAACUAUUAUCCACCAUCCAGAGUACCUUAUGUUCAAUGUCUACGCCUUGUUCCGUCUGAAGUUUUGCCUUCAACUCACCCACGGUAAUACCAUCGAAGACUACGUACACAUAACAAUGGCCAUCGAACUCCAAGUAGAUCUUGACUUCAAUUUUCUUAUAGAUAACAAGGAAAGCAGUAGGGGGAAUGUGAUAGUCUUGCAGAGUCAGUUCAUCUUUCAGGCACUGCCCUUCCCAUGAGAGCUCUUGCCUAUCUAUUGGGAUGGGGAUGCGAAGCACUUCUGAAAUCAGUAGCUUUACGUCGAUAAUUCUUGUAGCCAUGGGAACCAGCAGAAUGGAUUCUCCUCCACUCCAUAGGAAUGUGAUCAGCGAGGUCUGUCAAAUACCAAUCAAUUUGUCAUAAACUUAGAAAAAAAAGAAAGAAAAUUAGAAUUUAAUUAGCAGUCACAAAUUAGUGAGUUACAGGAUGCUUACCGCUGGAGGCAAAUAAUUCAUUGUGGUUAUAACUUGUACGUGUGCUUAAAUGCGAAAGGGGAAUGAGAGCUUGUUAAAAUGUAUCUCCUCAUGGCAAUGGCAUUAUCAUGGUGUUGGUCGAAUGUUAUUUGCAUGCAUCGAAAAGGUCCUUUUUAAGUCUCAUGCAUAUUUUGUUCCAAAACUAGAAACGAAAAAGAAAUUUCAGAACGAAAACUUUAGAACUUGGUUGCUGUCACGCACUGCCUGUAAGAGUGGCUACGCUUUGGUUAUAUUGUCGCUAAGGGGUCGUUUGGCACGGCAGACUGUCAUGGACUAGACUAAAUUCUAGAACUGUCUCGGAUUAGCUCGGAUUGGCCUAAGCUGGAUUAAGUAUUGACCUAUGUUUGGUGCUGCGUCGGACUAAGAAACUGGAUUGUAAAAAUAGUGAAAUCUAUGUUUAGUGCUGUGUCAGACUAAAAAAUAAUUAUUUUAAUAUUUAAAAAUAAUAAUUUUUAAAUAAUUAAUGUAAGUUUUUUUGUUAUUAUAAUUACCAAAUUGACAUGUACAUUUCUUUUCCUCCAAACCAACCAAAGGCUUUUUAUUUGUUGUUAAAAUUAUAAAUUCCAUCGAUUUUAUGCAUAAUUAGUCUUUAUUUGUAUGCAAACAUAAAGAAAUUAAUUAAUUGAGUCUUUACCAGGUGAUAUUAUGUUAGUAUACAAAAAUAUGUUGGCUGAGGAUAAAAUAGAUAACUUAGGAAAUUGUGACAAAAAUAUAGGCAAACAUUCUUUAUAUCUUGCAUUUAACCUAGUGAACUAGAAUUAGGAUUUAAACAAGAGUUGCAUCCGAAACUCUAUGACUAAGACAUUUCUGAAAACUACACAUUAGGGCAUAGUAUUACCAAAUCAAUCCUCAGCAAAAUUUGGUGAUAAAAAACAAACAGGGAGCUUCCCUUUCUCAAUAAAAGGGCAAAAGUUUCCAGUCUUCUAGAGAUAAAUAUAAAAUGGGAAAUCAUGUCUCUCUGAACCUGAAAAAGUAAAACUAAAAACACUGAAUGAACAUAGUAGAAAGAUGACGCAUCUUCCCCACUAAUAGAUAUGCAAGUCUACAACUGUCCAAGAAACCAAUAAUGAUCAACAAUUGAAUUUUUCACAUACAAGCAAUCUUACAACUAAACUAGUACCACAUGAAUUCAAGCAAAUUUUGUCAUUGGUUCAUUGCUGGGUAUAGGUAGCAUAAUCACGUUUUCCAAAUUUCACCUUUGCCUACAAGUAUACUUACAUAUUACACUGGACAAUUGAAAUUGCUAAAACAAGAAUAGUAAGCUGCAGGUUUUCUGUUUCCUUGGCCACCUUCAACUGAAGCUCUAAAUUCCCAGAACAUGAACCUCAUUCUUCUCACAAGGCAUCACGAGAGGCAAUCCGUCAAGUAAUGGCAUAAGCAAGAGAAGAUAUCCCUAGUUCCACGCUAAUGAUCUUAUAGUGCUGAAAAUUACGAGAGUUGAUGAUCACUAACUAGAAACAAAAUCAUAAGAAAACUAAUUGCCGUUAGAAAAGUGAUCAAGAGUGUACCUUUUGUAUUUGGGCUUGGUCUACUCUACCUCCCAACUCCUCCAAGUCAAUCUCUUUUCCAAUGAUUAGUUUCUCUACUGCUUUUUGUUCAAUCUAAUAUUCAACAAAAAUUAUUAAAGUCAAAAUGGCAAACAUUUUCUGAUAUCCUGAAGCAAUACAAGGCUUGACAAACAUUGCAUGUGCUGCACUCACUGUUAAACCUUAAACAUCGUUCUCUUGUCAACACCAUCACCAUGUUAAUUGAUUAAACUAUGUAUAAUUUGAGUCAUUGACCUUCAAACUAUCACAUUGAAUUCAAGACAGACAGCAUAUAAUAUGCCAAAAUUAAUUGCUGCGGAAUAAAUUUUAUUGCAGGAAAUUACUUGACAAAUGAACUUCUUUUCUUUUUUGCUAAUUUGAAUGUCAAACAGCUGUUACAACAUUAUGCAGUGCAGCAAACAAUAUGAAUGGCACAAAGACUAAAUAAACAUAAAAAAUAGACAGUAUGAAAUGAAAUGAAUGGCGCAAAUACUGAGUGACAAUUGACACAGUGGAAGGGGAGGUAGGAGAUUUAUUAGAGAUAUUAGCUUGGAGAAACAAAAAUUAAUAACUUUGAAUCUGCUGCUAGCCAGGACACCAUCGCAUCCAUAUAUAUAUAUAUAUUUUUUAUCGCAUCCAUAUUUUUUUUUAUUGACUUUGCUUUGACAUGGCCAAAGAAAAAGAAAAAAGAAAAUUGAAUCACUAAAUCACCAACCAAGAAAAAAGAAAAUUGGCAAACUCCAAAACUACAAAUCUUCCUCUGUGUAAUCUUUUAGCACUAAACCACAAGGAUGCAUCAUCCCACAUGAACCAGUAAGUAAUGAAAUCCAUUAGAUAGUAAUGAAAUCCAUAAAAACUGAAACAGUAAGUUCAAUAAACUCAAGAUUCAUGCCAAAAGUCUACUCUACUUCUGAAUUUCUAGGUUUUCUGAAGUACCCAAUUGCAAAUUAAUUGCCAAUUAACAUCAUGUAUAUAUAUGUCACCACAGUAAAUAUGGAUUCUACGAAAAUUAGAGAAGAGAAGAAGAAAAUAACAGAGAAAAGGAAGGAGAGAUUCUCAGAGCACACAGUCAAAAUUGUUGAGGACAAUUGCAAAAAUCAAAGAGAUGGAAGAAGGAAUAAGAGAGGUAUCCAAAGGGAAAGACCAGAAAAACUUGCCUGCGUUAAGAUUCGAAGAAGAUGAGUCGAUGUUGAACGAAGGAGAGGUGGAGUCGCAGAGACGGAGUCGCGAACUGGAGAGAGGCGUGUUCAAUAUAGCGAAGGCUUAUUUUGCGAACUCAUUUUGAGCUUCUCUGUAUAAGGAGAACGAGUGAGGGGUUUUUUCUACUGUUGGGCUCUACUAUCCCAUUUAAGUUAGUCCCCUUGCUAAUCAAACAUGGGCUUGAGGUUCAAUAUAGCACAGCCCUAUCUAGUGAGCCAUACCAAACAUGCCCAAAAGUACAAAAGCGAUGUUAAAAAUUUUGACCCGUCAUUAGUGGUCAAAGUUGGAUUCUUAUUAUCAGAAAAAGCUAUUUCACUAAGAAAAUUAUGAAAAGUAAGUAGAUUUUGCACGUAUCAAAAAGCGUUCAUCCAAAACAUAAAAAGGCAUAGGUAAAAAACCCUUCCUUUAAUAAUGGAUGCCUAAUCAAUAACCCAAUCUAGUUUGUAUUGGCCCUAAACCUUUGAAUUAUGAAUGUAAUUUUAAAAUUUAUCAAAAAAUAAAUAAAUAAAUAACCCAAAUUAUACCACAACCAUCCAUUAAAAUGUUGGAUUACAUAAUGAAAUGAAUUAGGGUUCGUCAUUGAACCGACCUGUAAUUUUUAGGUUUGGCCCGAGCUUUUUGGACUUUUUUAAAAAUAAUUUCGAGUCAGAUAGAAUUGAGGUUUCAAAGGUCAAGGCCCCAGCCUACUCAUUGGGCCGGGCCUAGAAGUAUAAUUCACUUCUAGUAAUAAUUGUGGUAUAAUUCAAGGGAGAAAACAAUAUUUUUCUCUAAAAUUUAUGUUACACUAGUUACAAAUUUCAGAAAACUUGGAGUUUUCCUCUUAAAAUUCUAAUCAAACUUUUCUCAAGGGCCUCUCGUGGAAGGAAGUUGCAUGAACACUACGAAUUAUUUGAAAAAUAUUCGGAAAUUCUUAUUCAUAUCCAUAUUCCAUUAAUUAUAUCUUGUUUCACUGUUUCUUUUUACCUUGUAUUUUUUUAUUUUUAGCUACACAAAAAGAUAGGGUCUGAAAACCAGGACUGAAGUGCAGAAUUUCGAGUGUGUGUUUCACCCAAAUGCUUUCGCCUUACUUUGUCUGUGAUUUUCUUUCUCUCCGCAAUUUUGUUGUUGUUGGUAUUUUGACUUCUUUUGGGCACAUUAAUUUAUUUAACCCAGUUUAUGACUAGGAUAUGAGAAAUUAAAAUAAACAAAAGGGCAGGCAUUAACAUUAAGAACAAAAUGAUGUGACAAAUUUAAGAACUGAAAAUUUUCACCCAAACAGGCUAUUCUUUCUCAGGCUAAAUUAAUUAUAAUUUGUCGAAUUUAUUUUAUCCAAACUGAAAUAUAUAGCCCAUGCUUCUUAAGCUAACUUAUAAUAUAGUAACAGUGAAUUAAUAAGAUUUUUCAGCAAGCCAACCAAGUCCUCUUGAAAUGCCGAAUUAGUUUUGAUACUUAACGAGAUGUAACUUAGUUCCUUCCAUAACUGUGGCAGCCCAGAGAAGAGCACCAUCAUCAAGAUCAAAACCGUUCAUUCGGAGUACCUUG